rnacentral:rRNA from 1 species
GGGGGCCCGCACAAGCGGCGGAGCAUGUGGCUUAAUUCGACGCAACGCGAAGAACCUUACCAAGGCUUGACAUACACCGGAAAGCAUCAGAGAUGGUGCCCCCCUUGUGGUCGGUGUACAGGUGGUGCAUGGCUGUCGUCAGCUCGUGUCGUGAGAUGUUGGGUUAAGUCCCGCAACGAGCGCAACCCUUGUCCCGUGUUGCCAGCAAGCCCUUCGGGGUGUUGGGGACUCACGGGAGACCGCCGGGGUCAACUCGGAGGAAGGUGGGGACGACGUCAAGUCAUCAUGCCCCUUAUGUCUUGGGCUGCACACGUGCUACAAUGGCCGGUACAAUGAGCUGCGAUACCGCAAGGUGGAGCGAAUCUCAAAAAGCCGGUCUCAGUUCGGAUUGGGGUCUGCAACUCGACCCCAUGAAGUCGGAGUCGCUAGUAAUCGCAGAUCAGCAUUGCUGCGGUGAAUACGUUCCCGGGCCUUGUACACACCGCCCGUCACGUCACGAAAGUCGGUAACACCCGAAGCCGGUGGCCCAACCCCUUGUGGGAGGGAGCUGUCGA